GGGGCUGAUUCUGGAUUCGACGGGAUUUGCGAAACCCAAGGUGCAUGCCGAGGGGCGGUUGGCCUCGUAAAAAGCCGCAAAAAAAUAGUCGCAAACGACGAAAACUACGCUUUAGCAGCUUAAUAACCUGCUUAGAGCCCUCUCUCCCUAGCCUCCGCUCUUAGGACGGGGAUCAAGAGAGGUCAAACCCAAAAGAGAUCGCGCGGAUGCCCUGCCUGGGGUUGAAGCGUUAAAACGAAUCAGGCUAGUCUGGUAGUGGCGUGUCCGUCCGCAGGUGCCAGGCGAAUGUAAAGACUGACUAAGCAUGUAGUACCGAGGAUGUAGGAAUUUCGGACGCGGGUUCAAC
rnacentral:tmRNA from 1 species